CUCCCAACUUAGACGCCCAGCUCCUGCCACCACCCCACCCGCUUCUGUCCCCACCAGCGUCGCCGGCCCGGACGUCGAAGCAUGGCCGGACGCACUCCGAGGCCGAUGGCCUAGGCCGAAAGGAUACACGUUCAGACGUUGUCCCAUGUCCUGGAGGAGAUUGGCCGCCUGCUGGCGGUAAGAGAGUUCUUUAUCGGAGUCCACGCCAAAGCGACGCGACGGGCUGUUCUCCAGCUGCUCGCGAGUAAAAUACCACCGCUUGUUGUUGUUCUUCCUCUCUCCCUCCAUAGUGCUUCAACCAAGAGGCAGCGGCGGGGGCUGCGAGCACUUCCCAGCGUCACCGGAGCGGCGACACACAUCCGCCGUGCCGAGACUACUGCGACGUGACGAACUUCCUCCAAGGGGCGACCACCGAGGUUGUGACACACUUCCGCCCAGAAAGCCGAAGAUUCCAGCGCCGACUUCCGGAAUGACCCCUCCGACACCCCGUAGACGAAUCCACAGCCAGUCCGCGGCUAAGAACGGACCGGCGGCCGGGACGCAGGAUCCGGUCGUGUGACCGCCAGGUGGGCGGGACUAUCUGACGUCGUUCUUUAAAGGUCUCGUCUUUCCGCGCGAGAACUGCGGUAAGGGGGCCUCACCGGCGGGCCUCUAGUUAACGCUCGCUGCGCUUGGCUGGGUAGUUUCCGAGGACGUGCGUGAUGGAGGCCCCUUUGUAACACCGGGCUUACGGAAAAAGUGGCAGGGGAAAUAGGCGAGACUCUCAGAAAACCGAGAAAGGACGAGACAGUGAGUGGCCCUGCCCCGUGCAGAAACGCGAAAGCCACUAAAAGGUUCCUGGGUUCUUAGCUCCGGCAUGGAGAACUCCGGCGCGUUUGGAAACCGCUCUCCUAUUUUGUAGCAGCCUUUCCUCCCGUUUCACUGCGGCCAAUCAUCUGGAAGGAAUAAAAUCAACGCCACUGAG
rnacentral:lncRNA from 1 species